AAUCCAUGCAUUGGACACUUUCACAAUAACUCUUUAAAAUGCUCCCAAGCUUCAUAUAAAUCUUUGUCUUCUACUUGUUUGAAGGAGGUAAGGUCAUUCCUCAGCUU